AACAUCGCGCACCUGCGGGAACCUGCGGAAGGAUCAUUAUCGAGUUGCAAAACUCCAACCCUUUGUGAACAUACCUCAGUCGUUGCUUCGGCGGUGGACGGCCUGUUUUUCGGAACGGCCGGAAGCCGCCGGAGGUUCCAAACUCGUAUUUUUUAGUGUAUCUCUGAGCCUGAAAACAAAUAAUCAAAACUUUUAACAAUGGAUCU
rnacentral:misc_RNA from 1 species